UACAGAGGUGGCAAGCGUUGUUCGGAAUUACUGGGCGUAAAGGGCGCGUAGGCGGUUCGGUAAGUCCUGUGUGAAAUUCCUCGGCUCAACUGAGGAACUGCACGGGAGACUGCCGGGCUUGAGUUCGGGAGAGGGAAGCGGAAUUCCGGGUGUAGCGGUGAAAUGCGUAGAUAUCCGGAGGAACACCGGUGGCGAAGGCGGCUUCCUGGACCGACACUGACGCUGAGGCGCGAAAGCUAGGGGAGCAAACGGG
rnacentral:rRNA from 1 species